rnacentral:lncRNA from 1 species
GUGCAUCACUUGUGCUUGGCUUAUUUGGCAUCAGUUCCUUAAUUACCAAGUGGGAAUAAAUAAUAAAUAAUAAUAAAGAAUAAAAACUGAGGCACCACUUAGAAUGUGUUGUCCCAGGAUGAAAAGCUUCUCCCUGAUUCUCUUUUCAUGUGUCCCUAUUCCUGCUAAACCCCAGCAGACAGAAUAAUUCAGCAUGUGGUGUAUCAAUGACCUGUCCUAAUUAUCAUUUACCUCCUCACAGUUUAAUUAAGCUGUUAAUUAAUGUGGCUUUCACUUUUCCCACAUUUCAUGGUCACAGCAGCUUCAUCUGUAAUGGGAUUUACCCCUCUGUAACUAUUUCCAAAAGAAUUCCCUGAGGUGAUUCAAGAAGCCACUUGAAAUAAUUCCAUGAAGAGAAUGGGAUAGCUGUAACAUUUAUUUCUUCCUGUUUGCCAGGCCAAAAGGAGCUGGGAAAAGAAAGGAAGAAUGCAAACAGGUAUUCAGGAGUGUUGCUUUUCAUGUCAGGAUAUUCUCUGCCACUAGCCCACCAGGACAGCUGGUGACAUGACUUCACUGGGGAUGUUCCAGAGCCAUCUGGACACAUUCCUGUGCUCUGAGAUGACCCACUGUGGUCCAUUUCAGCCUGAACCAUCCUGGGAUUCUGUGAAACUGAAGCCAGCCAAGGACUGGAGGAGAGCUACCAUUCCUUUGAAAUUCCAUCAUCUUAGUCCUGGCUUGGGGGAUUGCUGGACUGCAACAGGUAAGGGUGACCAGAGCUACCUGCAAAGCUGCUGUGGGAUAAUGGCUUUUAUUUGAGCUGGAAACUGUUGGAUCUGUUCCCAGCAGCAGCCAUAGGGAUGGCCUGGAGGAAGCAGCUGAAAGCAAACAAACAUUGGGUUUUUACUGUUUCUGAGAACUGUCUGGGUCACCUCCUUAUCUGUGAUUUGUAUUUCUCAGUAAUAGGCUGCUCAGCUCUCGGGAUGAGAGGACUCACCGCCUUGGAAUUACAGCUGGGAAAUGCUUUUGGAAAAACAGAAGAUGUGCUGGAGGAAGAUAGUGUUGUCUCUCUGGCCUGGCAGGUCACAGCUGGAAUUAACCAUGAGGUAUUUAACACUGAAGUGGAAGGAAAGGAUGAAACACUAGGGAGAGGAACUGCUUGGAAACUGGUAAACCCAAUGUCCCUUUUAAACAGGGAAGAUGAAGGAUUUGCUUGGUGUAAGGUCACCCUACCUACAAGAUCCUUGUCUUUCUUUCCCCCAGCUGGGAUAAAGAAAGCCAGGGCUCCAGGUAUCCCACCUGAAAUGUAACAUCAAGGGGAGAUGCAACAGGCAGGUGGCUGUGGGUGAAACAGUCCUCCCAAAUACACCUUCCACUGCUUCCAUUGUGGCUGCUGUGGUCAGGCUGACUCUGAGAAACCACAGCAGCAGCUAGAGAAUACCAGAAUGAAUCCCAGAAUGGUUUUUGUUGGAGACCUUAAAGCCCAUCCAGUUCCACCCCCUGCCAUGGGCAGAGACACUUUCCAGUAUCCCAGGUUGCUCCAAGCCCCAUCCAACCUGGCCUUGGACACUUCCAGGGAUGAGACAGCCCCAGCUUCUCUGGGCAACCUGUGCCAGGACCUCACCACCCUCACAGGGAAGGAUUUCUUCCUAAUACAUAACCUUAAUGUGCCCUCUGUCAGUUUAAAGACUCAUGGAAUCCCAGAAUCAUUGAGGCUGGAAAAGCCCUCCAAGGCCAUUGAGUCCAACCUGUGCCCAAUCCCCAUCUUGUCACCCAGCCCAGUGCCACAUCCAGGCCUUCCUUGAACACCUCCAGGGAUGGGGACUCCAAACCUCCCUGAGGAGCCCCUUCUGAUGCUUGACAACCCUUUCCAUGAUGAAAUUCCUCCUGAACCUUCCCUGGCACAACUUGAGGUUGUUUCCUCUUGUCCUGUUGCUUGUUGCCUGGGAAAAGUUGCCGAUACCUGCCUGGCUCCUGUUUUAGAGUGAGGAGGUUUCCCCUGAGCCUCCUCUCCUCAGGAUACAGAGCUGAACUCCUCCCCACAGCCACUCUAAUCCCUUCAGCUGCCCAAUGGCCAGCAGAUGGCCAUUUCUCCCACUGAAAGAAUGCUGAUAGCUGCUCUCUAGGUACACCCUUUAGCUCACCAUGGUGGCCAUGCUGCCUUGAUUGCACUGUUAGUAUUCAGCCUAAUCAACAUCAAAUGGGGUCCUGCUUUCAGAAAAGAUUUUUCUGUACCAUGAUAGUAGGAAUCGUCUCAGAAACAUUCCUGGGAAGGGGUUGUUUUUCUCCCAGAUGAGAAUGGGGACAGAGAAUAGCACUCUAGAGCCAAUAUCUGAAUCAACCUCAACCCUUUGUGGGGUUUGGAAGGCCUUCUUUAAAGUGCUGGUCAGCAUCACUGGAUGGAUAGAACAAAAUUUAUGCUGCUCCCCAGGUUAGUAUUGCACUUGCUGGGAUGUGUUCCCUUUCCCCUAGCUAGAAAAUUUAUUCUAGACCUGAAGACAACCUCUUCCCCAAUGUGGGUAAAUUCCUUUGUAAUAAAAACACAUGUUAUUUUUCUGAGAAAACA